rnacentral:misc_RNA from 1 species
CGCAUUCCCCUCAGAGCUUUG